GGUUAAGCGACUAAGCGUACACGGUGGAUGCCCUGGCAGUCAGAGGCGAUGAAGGACGUGCUAAUCUGCGAUAAGCGUCGGUAAGGUGAUAUGAACCGUUAUAACCGGCGAUUUCCGAAUGGGGAAACCCAGUGUGAUUCGUCACACUAUCAUUAACUGAAUCCAUAGGUUAAUGAGGCGAACCGGGGGAACUGAAACAUCUAAGUACCCCGAGGAAAAGAAAUCAACCGAGAUUCCCCCAGUAGCGGCGAGCGAACGGGGAGCAGCCCAGAGCCUGAAUCAGUGUGUGUGUUAGUGGAAGCGUCUGGAAAGGCGCGCGAUACAGGGUGACAGCCCCGUACACAAAAAUGCACAUGCUGUGAGCUCGAUGAGUAGGGCGGGACACGUGGUAUCCUGUCUGAAUAUGGGGGGACCAUCCUCCAAGGCUAAAUACUCCUGACUGACCGAUAGUGAACCAGUACCGUGAGGGAAAGGCGAAAAGAACCCCGGCGAGGGGAGUGAAAAAGAACCUGAAACCGUGUACGUACAAGCAGUGGGAGCACGCUUAGGCGUGUGACUGCGUACCUUUUGUAUAAUGGGUCAGCGACUUAUAUUCUGUAGCAAGGUUAACCGAAUAGGGGAGCCGAAGGGAAACCGAGUCUUAACUGGGCGUUAAGUUGCAGGGUAUAGACCCGAAACCCGGUGAUCUAGCCAUGGGCAGGUUGAAGGUUGGGUAACACUAACUGGAGGACCGAACCGACUAAUGUUGAAAAAUUAGCGGAUGACUUGUGGCUGGGGGUGAAAGGCCAAUCAAACCGGGAGAUAGCUGGUUCUCCCCGAAAGCUAUUUAGGUAGCGCCUCGUGAAUUCAUCUCCGGGGGUAGAGCACUGUUUCGGCAAGGGGGUCAUCCCGACUUACCAACCCGAUGCAAACUGCGAAUACCGGAGAAUGUUAUCACGGGAGACACACGGCGGGUGCUAACGUCCGUCGUGAAGAGGGAAACAACCCAGACCGCCAGCUAAGGUCCCAAAGUCAUGGUUAAGUGGGAAACGAUGUGGGAAGGCCCAGACAGCCAGGAUGUUGGCUUAGAAGCAGCCAUCAUUUAAAGAAAGCGUAAUAGCUCACUGGUCGAGUCGGCCUGCGCGGAAGAUGUAACGGGGCUAAACCAUGCACCGAAGCUGCGGCAGCGACGCUGAUGCGUUGUUGGGUAGGGGAGCGUUCUGUAAGCCUGCGAAGGUGUGCUGUGAGGCAUGCUGGAGGUAUCAGAAGUGCGAAUGCUGACAUAAGUAACGAUAAAGCGGGUGAAAAGCCCGCUCGCCGGAAGACCAAGGGUUCCUGUCCAACGUUAAUCGGGGCAGGGUGAGUCGACCCCUAAGGCGAGGCCGAAAGGCGUAGUCGAUGGGAAACAGGUUAAUAUUCCUGUACUUGGUGUUACUGCGAAGGGGGGACGGAGAAGGCUAUGUUGGCCGGGCGACGGUUGUCCCGGUUUAAGCGUGUAGGCUGGUUUUCCAGGCAAAUCCGGAAAAUCAAGGCUGAGGCGUGAUGACGAGGCACUACGGUGCUGAAGCAACAAAUGCCCUGCUUCCAGGAAAAGCCUCUAAGCAUCAGGUAACAUCAAAUCGUACCCCAAACCGACACAGGUGGUCAGGUAGAGAAUACCAAGGCGCUUGAGAGAACUCGGGUGAAGGAACUAGGCAAAAUGGUGCCGUAACUUCGGGAGAAGGCACGCUGAUAUGUAGGUGAAGCGACUUGCUCGUGGAGCUGAAAUCAGUCGAAGAUACCAGCUGGCUGCAACUGUUUAUUAAAAACACAGCACUGUGCAAACACGAAAGUGGACGUAUACGGUGUGACGCCUGCCCGGUGCCGGAAGGUUAAUUGAUGGGGUUAGCGCAAGCGAAGCUCUUGAUCGAAGCCCCGGUAAACGGCGGCCGUAACUAUAACGGUCCUAAGGUAGCGAAAUUCCUUGUCGGGUAAGUUCCGACCUGCACGAAUGGCGUAAUGAUGGCCAGGCUGUCUCCACCCGAGACUCAGUGAAAUUGAACUCGCUGUGAAGAUGCAGUGUACCCGCGGCAAGACGGAAAGACCCCGUGAACCUUUACUAUAGCUUGACACUGAACAUUGAGCCUUGAUGUGUAGGAUAGGUGGGAGGCUUUGAAGUGUGGACGCCAGUCUGCAUGGAGCCGGCCUUGAAAUACCACCCUUUAAUGUUUGAUGUUCUAACGUUGACCCGUAAUCCGGGUUGCGGACAGUGUCUGGUGGGUAGUUUGACUGGGGCGGUCUCCUCCUAAAGAGUAACGGAGGAGCACGAAGGUUGGCUAAUCCUGGUCGGACAUCAGGAGGUUAGUGCAAUGGCAUAAGCCAGCUUGACUGCGAGCGUGACGGCGCGAGCAGGUGCGAAAGCAGGUCAUAGUGAUCCGGUGGUUCUGAAUGGAAGGGCCAUCGCUCAACGGAUAAAAGGUACUCCGGGGAUAACAGGCUGAUACCGCCCAAGAGUUCAUAUCGACGGCGGUGUUUGGCACCUCGAUGUCGGCUCAUCACAUCCUGGGGCUGAAGUAGGUCCCAAGGGUAUGGCUGUUCGCCAUUUAAAGUGGUACGCGAGCUGGGUUUAGAACGUCGUGAGACAGUUCGGUCCCUAUCUGCCGUGGGCGCUGGAGAACUGAGGGGGGCUGCUCCUAGUACGAGAGGACCGGAGUGGACGCAUCACUGGUGUUCGGGUUGUCAUGCCAAUGGCACUGCCCGGUAGCUAAAUGCGGAAGAGAUAAGUGCUGAAAGCAUCUAAGCACGAAACUUGCCCCGAGAUGAGUUCUCCCUGACUCCUUGAGAGUCCUGAAGGAACGUUGAAGACGACGACGUUGAUAGGCCGGGUGUGUAAGCGCAGCGAUGCGUUGAGCUAACCGGUACUAAUGAACCGUGAGGCUUAACCUUAC
rnacentral:rRNA from 1 species